UUCUCUCCCUCCGCGCAGCCGAGCUACAUCGCUGAGACACCAUGGGGAAGGUGAAGGUUGGAAUCAACGGAUUUGGUCGUAUCGGGCGCCUGGUCACCAGGGCUGCUUUUAACUCUGGUAAAGUGGAUAUUGUUGCCAUCAAUGACCCCUUCAUUGACCUCAACUACAUGGUUUACAUGUUCCAGUAUGAUUCCACCCAUGGCAAAUUCCAUGGCACCGUCAAGGCUGAGAACGGGAAGCUUGUCAUCAAUGGAAAUCCCAUCACCAUCUUCCAGGAGUGAGUGGAAGACAGAAUGGAAGAAAUAUGCUUUGGGGAGGCAACUAGGAUGGUGUGGCUCCCUUGGGUCUAUGGUAAGCUCAUGUCCCUCAAUAUGGUCCUGUCCCCGUCUCCCCCCACCCCCAUAGGCGAGAUCCCUCCAAAAUCAAGUGGGGCGAUGCUGGCGCUGAGUACGUCGUGGAGUCCACUGGCGUCUUCACCACCAUGGAGAAGGCUGGGGUGAGUGCAGGAGGGCCCACGGUAGGGGAAGCUGACUCAGCCCUGCAAAGGCAGAACCCGGGUUUAUAACUGUCUACUUUUCUGCUGUAGGCUCAUUUGCAGGGGGGAGCCAAAAGGGUCAUCAUUUCUGCCCCCUCUGCUGACGCCCCCAUGUUCGUCAUGGGUGUGAACCAUGAGAAGUACGACAACAGCCUCAAGAUCGUCAGGUGAGGGAGGCAGGGCCAGUGGAGAAGCGGCCAGCCUGGCACCCUGUGGACAUGCUCCCCUGACUUGCCCCCCCGCUCCCUCUUUGUUUGCAGCAAUGCCUCCUGCACCACCAACUGCUUAGCACCCCUGGCCAAGGUUAUCCAUGACAACUUUGGUAUCGUGGAAGGACUCAUGGUAUGAGAGCUGGGGAAUGGGACUGAGGCUCCCGCCUUUCUCAUCCAAGACCGGCUCCUCCUACCUGCCGGGGCUGCAUGCAACCCUGGGGUUGGGGGUUCUGGGGACUGGCUUUCCCAUAAUUUCCUUUCAAGGUGGGGUGGGAGGUAGAGGGGUGAUGUGGAGAGCACUCUGCAGGGCCUCACUCCCUCCUUUUGCAGACCACGGUCCAUGCCAUCACUGCCACCCAGAAGACUGUGGAUGGCCCCUCCGGGAAACUGUGGCGUGAUGGCCGCGGGGCUCUCCAGAACAUCAUCCCUGCCUCUACUGGCGCUGCCAAGGCUGUGGGCAAGGUCAUCCCUGAGCUGAACGGGAAGCUCACUGGCAUGGCCUUCCGUGUCCCCACUGCCAAUGUGUCAGUGGUGGACCUGACCUGCCGUCUAGAAAAAGCUGCCAAAUAUGAUGACAUCAAGAAGGUGGUGAAGCAGGCGUCGGAGGGCCCCCUCAAGGGCAUCCUGGGCUACACUGAGCACCAGGUGGUCUCCUCCGACUUCAACAGCGACACCCACUCCUCCACCUUCGAUGCUGGGGCUGGCAUUGCCCUCAACGACCACUUUGUCAAGCUCAUUUCCUGGUAUGACAACGAAUUUGGCUACAGCAACAGGGUGGUGGACCUCAUGGCCCACAUGGCUUCCAAGGAGUAAGAGCCCUGGACCACCAGCCCCAGCGAGAGCACGAGAGGAAGAGACAGACCCUCACUGCUGGGGAGUCCCUGCCACACUCAGUCCCCCACCACACUGAAUCUCCCUUCCUCACAGUUUCCAUGUAGACCCCUUGAAGAGGGGAGGGGCCUAGGGAGCCGCACCUUGUC
rnacentral:sRNA from 1 species